GAUGAAGAACGUAGCGAAAUGCGAUAAGUAAUGUGAAUUGCAGAAUUCAGUGAAUCAUCGAAUCUUUGAACGCACAUUGCGCCCGCCAGCAUUCUGGCGGGCAUGCCUGUUCGAGCGUCAUUUCAACCCUCAAGCUCUGCUUGGUGUUGGGGCCCUACGGUUGACGUAGGCCCUUAAAGGUAGUGGCGGACCCUCUCGGAGCCUCCUUUGCGUAUUAACUAACGUCUCGCAUUGGGAUUCGGAGGGACUCUUGCCGUAAAACCCCCAAAUUUUCUAAUGGUUGACCUCGGAUCAGGUAGGAAUACCCGCUGAACUUAAGCAUAUCAAUAAGCGGAGGA
rnacentral:misc_RNA from 1 species